rnacentral:rRNA from 1 species
UACGAAGGUGGCAAGCGUUGUUCGGAUUUACUGGGCGUACAGGGAGCGUAGGCGGUUGGAUAAGCCCUCCGUGAAAUCUCCAGGCUUAACCUGGAAAGUGCAGAGGGGACUGUUCAGCUAGAGGAUGGGAGAGGAGCGCGGAAUUCCCGGUGUAGCGGUGAAAUGCGUAGAGAUCGGGAGGAAGGCCGGUGGCGAAGGCGGCGCUCUGGAACAUUUCUGACGCUGAGGCUCGAAAGCGUGAGGAGCAAACAGG